UUGACAUGCAGGGAAAGACGGCGGAAACGUCGUGUCCGCAAGGGCCCUGCACAGGUGGUGCAUGGCUCGUCGUCAGCUCGUGUCGUGAGAUGUUGGGUUAAGUCCCGCAACGAGCGCAACCCCUGUCGUAUGUUGCCAGCAUUAAGUUGGGGACUCAUACGAGACUGCCGGCGUCAAGCCGGAGGAAGGUGGGGACGACGUCAAGUCAUCAUGCCCCUUAUGUCCUGGGCUGCACACGUGCUACAAUGGUCGGUACAAUGGGCUGCGAUGCCGCGAGGCGGAGCGAAUCCCAUAAAACCGGCCCCAGUUCGGAUCGGAGGCUGCAACUCGCCUCCGUGAAGUCGGAGUUGCUAGUAAUCGCGGAUCAGCACGCCGCGGUGAAUACGUUCCCGGGCCUU
rnacentral:rRNA from 1 species